UACGUAGGGUGCAAGCGUUGUCCGGAAUUAUUGGGCGUAAAGGGCUCGUAGGCGGUCCAUCGCGUCGGGGAGUGAAAAGCUGGGGCUUAACCCCAGUCCUGCUUCCGAUACGGGUGGACUAGAGGUAGGUAGGGGAGAACGGAAUUCCUGGUGUAGCGGUGAAAUGCGCAGAUAUCAGGAGGAACACCAAUUGCGAAGGCAGCUCGCUGGGACGUUACUGACGCUGAGACGCGAAAGCGUGGGGAGCAAACAGG
rnacentral:rRNA from 1 species